rnacentral:rRNA from 1 species
GACGAACGCUGGCGGCACGCCUAACACAUGCAAGUCGAACGCCCUCUUCGGAGGGAGUGGCGGACGGGUGAGUAACGCGUGGGAACCUGCCCUUUGGUACGGGACAACCGAUGGAAACGUCGGCUGAUACCGCAUGAGCCCGCUGGCUUUGGAGGCUGGUGGGAAAGAUUUAUCGCCAUGGGAUGGGCCCGCGUUGGAUUAGCUAGUUGGUGGGGUAACGGCGUCACCAAGGCGACGAUCCAUAGCUGGUCUGAGAGGACGAUCAGCCACACUGGGACUGAGACACGGCCCAGACUCUACGGGAGGCAGCAGUGGGGAAUCUUGGACAAUGGGGGCAACCCGUGAUCCAGCGAUGCCGCGUGAGCGAAGAAGGCCUUAGGGUUGUAAAGCUCUUCGCCCACGACGAUGAUGACGGUAGUGGGAGAAGAA